GGGGGGGGAAUAAAUCACCACUUACUCUAUAUCACGAGUGAUUGCCGCUUGAAAAAUAUAUUUCUGGACACCAAAAUUUUCGUGAUGGCCGCCAAAAUAUUCACCAAAAAUUUGAAUCUCCGCCAUAAAUCUUUUCCCAAAUCUCAGCCACAAUAUUUUCUUUCUAAAUCUUCUUCUCCGCCUAAACACUCCCUUCUUCUCCAGUAAAUACCCUCCCAAUCUAUUCUCCUCUCCUACAAAUUAACAGAGCCUCUCUCAAUAUAUCAAUUUUCAUUUCCAAAAUCUUUUGCAACAGGGUUUGUUCUAAAUCCAAGAAAAAGAAAUCAGAACGUGGUGGAGAUGGUAUACAUCAACACAUCUCAGGUUCCAAAUCUUUUGCCAAGGUCAAAUAUGAUAUGUGAUGGAGUUGGGUGAGGAGCCAGCUAUCACUGACUUUAACUCAGAAACAUCAAUCACACCAGAUGCGGCAUUUUACACGGCAGAUGUCGGAUUAUUUUGUUCAUGGUUCUAUUGCUUCAGUUUUUAAUGCUUAUUGGUGGUCAAGCCACACAAAGGAAGGUUGUUUGAACUUGGAACAGCACAAAUGGAGGAGUUGAUUAAUCUUACUGGAAUUGUCAACUUGAUGAGCCAGCAGCUCACUGAUUUGUGCGAAGCUAGAGACAGCCUCUGAUACAUCUACCAACCCUUCUCCAUCCCCACCUCAUAGCACCAAUGAGCAGAGUAUCUAGAUGGUGUUGCUGACUUUCUAUUAUCUAUUUUUUUUUCUAUGAAGAAACUGAAGAUAUAAUAAUUAUAAUCUUUUGUGUUUAGUUUGAACUUUGUUAUGUCAUUGGAUUUCACAUCUGUUUCAUAUUAUGUUUUCUACUAGUAAUGAAUGUUAUGUUUCCAUUA